rnacentral:rRNA from 1 species
AGUGAACGCUGGCGGUAGGCCUAACACAUGCAAGUCGAACGGUAGCACAGUAAGAGCUUGCUCUUACGGGUGGCGAGUGGCGGACGGGUGAGGAAUACAUCGGAAUCUACUUUUUCGUGGGGGAUAACGUAGGGAAACUUACGCUAAUACCGCAUACGACCUGCGGGUGAAAGCAGGGGAUCUUCGGACCUUGCGCGAUUGAAUGAGCCGAUGUCGGAUUAGCUAGUUGGCGGGGUAAAGGCCCACCAAGGCGACGAUCCGUAGCUGGUCUGAGAGGAUGAUCAGCCCCACUGGAACUGAGACACGGUCCAGACUCCUACGGAAGGCAGCAGUGGGGAAUAUUGGACAAUGGGCGCAAGCCUGAUCCAGCCAUACCGCGUGGGUGAAGAAGGCCUUCGGGUUGUAAAGCCCUUUUGUUGGGAAAGAAAAGCAGCAGGUUAAUACCCCGCUGUUCUGACGGUACCCAAAGAAUAAGCACCGGCUAACUUAGUG